AUGCACUCCAAAGGAGUGUACAUGAGAACACAAGUGCAUUUUGGUCUUUUUCAAUUCAAUUUCUAGACCCGAAAUGUACUUGUGUUCUCAGGUCACCCCUUUGGGAUCACC
rnacentral:pre_miRNA from 1 species